CAAUAGGACACUGUUCUAUCCUUACACUCGCUUUGCCAUAGCAAUAAUUUGAAUCAUUAAUCUCCUAUUUUAGACUCAAUUUAUCCAAUUUUGGUGCUUUCUUUCAGGAACUCCCAAAACCAAACCCACCCAAGAAUUUUUUUUUUCCUUUCUUUGAGGAGGAAUACAAUCAAACAUGAGAGGGCUCUCUUUCUUUAUGAGAAACUUUGCAAAUUUCCUUUCCUUUCUUCUCCCUUUCAUUGAUAAACUCCCUUCAAAAUUGUUGCCUGCGCAAUUUGAGAACAUGAUUUCCUUGGUUUCUCGCACUGGUCGCCAUCUUCAGCGUUAUGAUAGAGGUUGCCGCCUAGUUGUAGGGUGUAUUCCUUACAGAUAUAAGAAAACUGAUCAACCAUCUUCCAUUGAUGGAACUUCUACUGAAGAUAUAGAAGUUCUUGUCAUCAGUUCACAAAGUGGUCAAGGAAUGUUAUUCCCUAAGGUAAUAUUUGUACUAGUUUCUUUAUAAUCAUUAAGUUUUUAAUCUGUUUAAUUAUCAUUCCUUAAUUGACAUUUGGAAUGUUUAACUUUCAGGGAGGAUGGGAAGAGGAUGAAUCCAUGGUACAAGCAGCACUGCGAGAGACUUUUGAGGAAGCAGGAGUGAUUGGCAAAGUUGAAGUAAGUUUUUGCAUGUUAACAUUUUGUCAUUGAAUUAUUGCCUGCUUUCUUAAAGUUCUAAUUCAAAUUACUUGAUGAUAUGUAAUUUUUGUUUUCAGUGUGAAUUGGGGAAAUGGCUAUAUAGGAGCAAAAGGGGUGCCAAAAUGCACGAGGUCUAUAUGUUUCCUUUGCUUGUUCAUAAGGAAUUAGAUCUAUGGCCAGAAAAGAGUAUCAGAAAACGAAAAUGGGUAUGUGUAAAUUUAUCAUUUGAACAAGUUGAUCAAUUGGUUUGAAUGGAACUGUUGAGGAAUGAGACCUGAUUUUGCAGUUUGAAUUUUUCAGGUGACUGUGAAGGAGGCCAGAGAAGUAUGCCAUAAUUGGUGGAUGAGAGAAGCUUUAGAUGAAUUAGUUCUGCGUCAACAACUAAAAGAGGAAGCUAAUGAAACAAGCUGUAAAUAGAACAUCGUUUAGUGGCUAAUUAAGUUUGUUAACAACCAAGAACAGGUUAUUGAGCAUAUUGUAGAUAUACAAAUGUCUUACUUUUUCUUUCUUCUUCCUUCUUUUGCCUCCCUAUGUACAGAUCUUGAUUCAUUCAUUCAUUCAUUCUUUCAACUUAGUAAAUUUUGGUUCUUGUUUUGCAUGAAUUUUCUCUUAUUUAUAAAGAUUUUCAGGAAUUAUACAUAUAUCACUGGCCAUAGGGAG
rnacentral:misc_RNA from 1 species